rnacentral:lncRNA from 1 species
CCACAGGUAAUGUAAUACCGUAUAACACCACAGGUACUGUAAUACUGUAUAACACUAACACCACAGGUACUGUAAUACUGUAUUACACUAUAACACCACAGGUACUGUAAUACUCUAUAACACUAUAACACCACAGGUACUGUAAUACUGUAUAACACUAACACCACAGGUACUGUAAUACUGUAUAACACUAUAACACCACAGGUACUGUAAUACUGUAUAACACUAUAACACCACAGGUACUGUAGUACUGUAUAACACUAACACCACAGGUACUGUAAUACUGUAUAACACUAUAACACCACAGGUACUGUAAUACCGUAUAACACCACAGGUACUGUAGUACUGUAAUACCGUAUAACACCACAGGUACUGUAAUACUGUAUAACACUAACACCACAGGUACUGUAGUACUGUAAUACCGUAUAACACCACAGGUACUGUAAUACUGUAUAACACUAACACCACAGGUACUGUAAUACUGUAUAACACUAUAACACCACAGGUACUGCAAUACCGUAUAACACCACAGGUACUGUAAUACUGUAUUACACUAUAACACCACAGGUACUGUAAUACUCUAUCACUAUAACACCAAAGGUACUGUAAUACUGUAUAACACUAUAACACCACAGGUACUGUAAUACUGUAUAACACUAACACCACAGGUACUGUAAUACUGUAUAACACUAUAACACCACAGGUACUGUAAUACUGUAUAACACUAACACCACAGGUACUGUAAUACUGUAUAACACUAACACCACAGGUACUGUAAUACUGUAUAACACUAUAACACCACAGGUACAGUAAUACUGUAUAAUAAUAUAACACCACAGGUACUGUAAUACUAUAUAACACUAUAACACCACAGGUACUGUAAUACUGUAUAACACUAUAACACCACAGGUACUGUAAUACUGUAUAACACUAUAACACCACAGGUACUGUAAUACCGUAUAACACCAAAGGUACUGUAGUACUGUAAUACCGUAUAACACCACAGGUACUGUAAUACUGUAUAACACUAACACCACAGGUACUGUAAUACUGUAUAACACUAUAACACCACAGGUACUGUAAUACUGUAUAACACUAUAACACCACAGGUACUGUAAUACACUAACACCACAGGUACUGUAAUACUGUAUAACACUAUAACACCACAGGUACUGUAAUACUGUAUAACACUAUAACACCACAGGUACUGUAAUACUGUAUAACACUAUAACACCACAGGUACUGUAAUACUGUAUAACACUAUAACACCACAGGUACUGUAAUACCGUAUAACACCAAAGGUACUGUAGUACUGUAAUACCGUAUAACACCACAGGUACUGUAAUACUGUAUAACACUAACACCACAGGUACUGUAAUACUGUAUAACACUAUAACACCACAGGUACUGUAAUACUGUAUAACACUAUAACACCACAUGUACUGUAAUACUGUAUAACACUAUAACACCACAGGUACUGUAAUACUGCAUAGCACUAUAACACCACAGGUACUGUAAUUCUGUAUAACACUAUAACACCACAGGUACUGUAAUACUGUAUAACACUAUAACACCACAGGUACUGUAAUGCCGUAUAACACCACAGGUACUGUAAUACUGUAUAACACUAACACCACAGG